rnacentral:lncRNA from 1 species
GUGGUCAACAGUCAGAUCAGUACGUGCAAGCAAUCGAAUGGCACGCAUUCAUAUGACGGAUCCAGUCAAUUAAUUUACAGAUACCCAUGCAAUGAUACAGAGGUUGCUCUCCUUUCUGAUGUACACCAGCUCAAGGAAAACAUGAUGCUCCUUGUUAGCUUUCAGCAUAUUUUCUGAUCCCACAAUAUAUUGCCAACUCAUUUACAGGUUCUCUGCCCAAGAGUCCCAUAAGUUAUCCAUCAAAUCCGUUCCUA